rnacentral:ncRNA from 1 species
CAAAAUUCUAUGACGGGAAAGAGUAUUCGUGAUACGCUGUCUUACAGAGAGCCGCUCCUGUGCUGAAAAGCGGCAGAAAGCCUCGCGAAGAAAAUCCUCCCCGAGAAGCAAAGCUGAAAUCGAGUAAGCCGAGCCGUCCCUUCCGCGUUAGAGGAAGCGCGUAUGUUUGUACGCGGCAAGCGCCCGCUUCACGCGGGAAUCUGGGUGGUACCGCGGAUAAUCCUCCGUCCCUUUC